UACGAAGGGGGCUAGCGUUGUUCGGAGUUACUGGGCGUAAAGCGCGCGCAGGCGGCGGUGCUGGCCCGGCGUGAAAGCCCCCGGCUCAACCGGGGAGGGUCGUCGGGGACCGCACCGCUCGAGGGCGGUAGGGGCUGGUGGAAUGCCUGGUGUAGUGGUGAAAUGCGUAGAGAUCAGGCGGAACACCCGUGGCGAAGGCGGCCAGCUGGGCCGUCCCUGACGCUGAGGCGCGAAGGCGUGGGGAGCGAACGGG
rnacentral:rRNA from 1 species